GCCAGUUUGGCCGAGUGGUUUAAGGCGGUGGUUUUAAGUCUAUCAUCAACUUGAGUUGUGACCUUUGAACACCAUUAUCGAAAGAUGCGCAGGUUCGAACCCUGCAGCUGGCA